UUGUGGAGGAGGACGCCGAAGGUGGGGCUAAUGACUGGGGUGAAGUCGUAACAAGGUAGCCGUACCGGAAGGUGCGGCUGGAUCACCUCCUAACAGGGAGACAACAAAAUGUUUAAUAUUAUUAUUUUGUCACCUUAGGUCGAUCGGUAUCUCACAUUCUUAAUUUAUUAAGGAUUUCAUUUCCUAAGUUUUUCUAGGUCACACCCAUUAUUUUUCCUGGGCCAUUAGCUCAGGUGGUUAGAGCGCACCCCUGAUAAGGGUGAGGUCCCUGGUUCAAGUCCAGGAUGGCCCAUAUCUCUAUGUUGGGGGUAUAGCUCAGUUGGUAGAGCGCCUGCUUUGCAAGCAGGACGUCAGCGGUUCGAGUCCGCUUACCUCCACUGAUUACCACCUCUUCCAUAAUUUGAUGAAGGAAAUGUUUUGAGUUGUGAUCAAAUUCUGAACGAUUCUAGCUUCCUAAUGAAAUCAUUAAGAUGCUGGACUCAUUGAAUUAAUUUCAUUGUUUUCAGAGAACCUUGACAACUGCAUAGAUUAUUUUUAAAGACAAUAAGCAUCUUUAAUGAUGCAGAUUUAUUAUUUGUGCGAAUGCAUUAAUAACAAUUCUAUUAAGCUGAUGCUUCAAUAUAUUGAAGUUAUUGGUCAAGCUACAA
rnacentral:misc_RNA from 1 species